rnacentral:rRNA from 1 species
AUUGAACGCUGGCGGCAGGCCUAACACAUGCAAGUCGAACGGUAACAGGAAGCAGCUUGCUGCUUCGCUGACGAGUGGCGGACGGGUGAGUAAUGUCUGGGAAACUGCCUGAUGGAGGGGGAUAACUACUGGAAACGGUAGCUAAUACCGCAUAACGUCGCAAGACCAAAGAGGGGGACCUUAGGGCCUCUUGCCAUCGGAUGUGCCCAGAUGGGAUUAGCUAGUAGGUGGGGUAACGGCUCACCUAGGCGACGGUCCCUAGCUGGUCUGAGAGGAUGACCCGCCCCUCUGGAACUGAGACACCGUCCAGACUCCGACGGGAGGCAGCAGUGGGUAAUAUUGCACAAUGGGCGCAAGCCUGAUGCAGCCAUGCCGCGUGUAUGAAGAAGGCCUUCGGGUUGUAAAGUACUUUCAGCGGGGAGGAAGGGAGUAAAGUUAAUACCUUUGCUCAUUGACGUUACCCGCAGAAGAAGCGCCGGCUAACUCCGU